UAGAACUGUCAUUAUUGUUGUUUUUCAACCGUAAUGAACGGUUCAAUUUCAACCAUUUUAGGAGUUCUAAUGAACAAGUUGAAAAAUGGUUAAAUUUCAACCGCAAAAUAUAUGGAAAAAUAGCAGCCAUCUUUGCAAGAGAAUUUGUUUGUUUUUUUUUAUAGCUGUCGUGACGGGACUUCCGUCCGGGAUUCAGCAGGCAGUUAUCAAUCAGUGGUUUCAGUUCAUUUAGUUACUUAACGUAUAAGAUGAAGGUUACCCUAUAAUACAAUUAACGCUUGAUCGGAAGAUUCGGUGAGCUAUAGGCCAACUUUAUUACAAGAAGGAAACAGGAGAUUUGGCUGAAUUAUCUACAGGAAAAGACAACAUUGCUAACGAGAAAGGAACGCAUUUGCAAUUGCAAUUAGAAAAAUAUUUAACCUCAUCAGAACGGCACGGACAAAUUUUUCAGAGACUGUCGGUAGUGGCAAACAUCUGCUAGGAACCAUUCUGCUUGGCCACAUGAUAAAGCAUCUUUCAAGGGUGAUGAUCUGAAAAUCACUUCCCUUCGCUCAUCGAGUGCGAGUCCGAUUCGAAAAGCUGCGAAAGGAAACAUGGUAGGAGCGGAUACUAGAUCAGGUGCUGUGCAGUCACCGGGGAGGAAACAGCAGCACUUGCAGAAUUGCAACAAAAUAGUGUAUCUUCAUUGUCAGCAUCGAACACUGAAGAUUUCGAUGAAUGCGACCAGAACAAGUUAUCCAUAAAUAUUUAUAGAUUUUAAUUAUAUCCAAACGUAUUUUUAAAUAAAAGCUCUAUUGGC